rnacentral:rRNA from 1 species
CUCUGUGACUCCUACGAGAGGCAGCAGUGGGGAAUAUUGCACAAUGGGCGCAAGCCUGAUGCAGCCAUGCCGCGUGUGUGAAGAAGGCCUUCGGGUUGUAAAGCACUUUCAGUUGUGAGGAAGGUGGUGUCGUUAAUAGCGGCAUCAUUUGACGUUAGCAACAGAAGAAGCACCGGCUAACUCCGUGCCAGCAGCCGCGGUAAUACGGAGGGUGCGAGCGUUAAUCGGAAUUACUGGGCGUAAAGCGCAUGCAGGUGGUUUGUUAAGUCAGAUGUGAAAGCCCGGGGCUCAACCUCGGAACUGCAUUUGAAACUGGCAGACUAGAGUACUGUAGAGGGGGUAGAAUUUCAGGUGUAGCGGUGAAAUGCGUAGAGAUCUGAAGGAAUACCGGUGGCGAAGGCGGCCCCCUGGACAGAUACUGACACUCAGAUGCGAAAGCGUGGGGAGCAAACAGGAUUAGAUACCCUGGUAG